UGGCUCUUCACGGUACAUUUCGACCAUAGAUUCUAUAUAAAAAGAUUUCGACCAACACCUGGAGCCAGCAUGGGACACAGAACAGCCGAGAAGAACCAACAACAUUGAUACUGACUGGACAUCACCAUCAGAAGAGGAUGCAUCCUCUAAUCUCCGAUGAUCUACGUGGUUGAACCUAUUGAGCACCCUAUCAAAGAAUACCAGAAGAUGCAGGAAAAUGAGGCUGAAGAACUGGAGCUGGCGACCAUGGUGAUCUUUAUCACUGGGAAAGAUGAUCCUCUCAAUCCACCCAAAAACAUUAAGAUCGAAGGAGGUCCUGAAUGAGUUGCCCUUAGUUGGAACAGCUUUUGCCAUGUUCUUUGGACUCAUUUACACACUCAACCUAAAAUAUCUGAAAAGGCUGCAAUUCACCUUUUUGAAGUAAUGCAAAAGGUCCUGAUGGAGCUUGAUGGAAAGAUUUCCCAUUUGUGGUUCUAUUUUAUGGUGUUUCUACAGCAAAGACUUUGGAUCAUUUUAUAUGAGGUUGCACUUACAUGGCUACAUUUUCAUUUUAACUCAUUUACCAGCCUCACAGUUGGAAGUAGGCCGAGUGUUCUAGACAACUGGAGACAAUGAUUGCAGCAUUUGCACUGAUUUGUAAGGCAGAUAAGUUAGAUUUUCAGACCAAGGGAGAGGGACAGGAGAUUUCUAUCUUGAGAACUGACGAGGUUCACACAAAUCAUCUUAAAUCCUUGAGGAAAAUAAUUUGGUGUUCUUUAAAAUAUUUUUUGCAUUGUCAAUGUUCCUAGCUUGUGAUUCCAUCAAGUGAGUGAUACUUACCAACUUUGUGGGCUCAGAGUUUUAGUUUGAGCUAUUACAUCUAAAUUAACCGUAUUCAAUAAAAUGUAUAGCUAUGCAUUUAAAUGAAUACAGUUAAUAAGAUGUACAGCUCUCAAUCAGAAACUCUGUCAGUGUCGUAGACAGUGAAUAGUGGAACUCCUAAGGAGCAGCUCCAGGAUUUGUCUCUUUUGUUCAGCUGAAAGUGAUUUCAAAAAGGUGUACAAUAUUGUUAUAAGGGUAAAAUAAGUUCUGUCAGGAAAGAACUUCCUAAUUCAACGUUAUUACAAAUGUGUCAUCCAAUGACAGUUUAAAUUAAGUUAACAAAUUUGUGGGCUUACAGUAGCUUUGUGUUAGCCAUUACGUUCAAAUUAGUUUAUUUAAAGAUGAACAAAACACAUGGUCCAUAUGCUGCACUAGUAGUUGAUAUUUUCACCCAGUAGCACACAUUGCCCCACCACAAUCAGUAACUUUUUUGCUAUACACUAAUGUUAGUACAUCCAAAGACCUCACAGAUUAGGGUGGGGCAGUGUGUGCAGCAGGGUGAAAAUAUCAACCACUAGGGCAGCAAAUUUACCAUGUGUUUAGCUGAUAGUAAUGCUCACACAUCAGAAAAUGUAUACCAGUAAAUUAACCAUGAGUACUGCAUGAUGUCUUAGGAGUUGUGCUACUAUUCACAGCUCCAUGAUUUGUCUUUUGAUGUAAUUGUCACAUUCUGCCUGUCAGCCAUGUCUUGUUUACCCUGUGUUUUGAUUUUCAUUUCUCGGGGUUUGGUUUCAUGUCUUAGUGUUACUCCUGGUCUGCGUACUUCUGUGUAGGUUGCUGUGUUGGUGGUAGUUGGUGGUAUUUGUGAUCUGUUUGCUUGUGUCUGUUCCCCCAGUAAUUCCUCUGCUUGCUUGUCCACUAAAUACUUUGAGUUUCAGUUGAUGUAUGGUCUGGUGUUUUGCAUCUGUAAGUGUAUCUCUGUUUCCCCCCUGCUGCCUCUCUGCCUGCCGGCCUGUCUUCUGUUUUCCCUGCUGUCUCUAUGCCUCGUUAGCCUUGAUCCCUGUCACCUGUGUUGCUCCCGCCCUGCUCAUUAGUCCCUGGUGUAUAUAUGUUUGGUGUUUCUCUUUAGUUUGCGUCUGGUCGUUGUAGUGUGUUUCACUCAGUCAUGUUUUUUUGGAAGAGUGUUCUGUCUGCCUGUUUGGACUUUCCAGUCAACUGCGUGUAAGCAUAUGUUACCUGUUCUCAGUUGGGUUAAACUCCCCUGAACUUUGUCUCUGCCUUGGUGUCUUGCAUUUGGGCUCACCUUCUUAGCGCUCACCCUCGAAUUGUGACAGUAAUCAGUAGUUCUUUCUGGUGUUCAGCUGAAGGAGACUGUUCAUCUUCAUACAUUUGAAACAGAUUGUAUGAAUUUAUGGAACAAUAAAUAUAAGUAUGUUCUAUA